GGAAUUUUGAAAGAUAGACUUGAUUGAAAACGAAUUGAAAAACAGAACAUUUCUACGAUCACAGUGUAUCGACAUGGUUUCAAUAUCGAUACAACCAAGAAACAUGUAUAGCAUCGGGUUGCCUUGGCACCAUUUCUCUGUGGUGGAAUCACUAUCCGAAAUAUGUGUAUGUGGCCCCGCAGGACGCCCUAUAUCAUAGCCUCCCCCCCUUACGCACCCCCAAAUGCCACUCGUUUCAAUUCAAUCAACCAUAAAGCAUAAGCACCACCGACCGACCCACACACGCAUGUCAUGCUGACGCUGACGCUGACGCUGACAUGCCCUAUGGCCACGCCCCACCGCCCGCCCAUAUUCAG
rnacentral:sRNA from 1 species